rnacentral:rRNA from 1 species
UGGGGAAUCUUGGACAAUGGGCGCAAGCCUGAUCCAGCCAUGCCGCGUGAGUGAAGAAGGCCUUCGGGUUGUAAAGCUCUUUUACCAGGGACGAUAAUGACGGUACCUGGAGAAUAAGCCCCGGCAAACUUCGUGCCAGCAGCCGCGGUAAUACGAAGGGGGCUAGCGUUAAUCGGAGUUACUGGGCGUAAAGCGCACGUAGGCGGGUCUGUAAGUAGAGGGUGAAAUCCCAGGGCUCAACCCUGGAACUGCCUUCUAGACUGCAGGCCUGGAGGUCAGGAGAGGCGAGCGGAAUUCCGAGUGUAGAGGUGAAAUUCGUAGAUAUUCGGAGGAACACCAGUGGCGAAGGCGGCUCGCUGGACUGAUACUGACGCUGAGGUGCGAAAGCGUGGGGAGCAAACAGGAUUAGAUACCCCUGUAGUCCCUGAGCGGGCUGGCAAGGCGCAU